GUUUCAUUGGGAUAAGACCUCAAAGGGGAAUGUGUGAGUGAGCCAGGAAAUGAGUCGAACCAGGUCCCCCCAGAACAUUUGAUUGUAGUCCUGGGCAUCCAUCCAAAUCCCAGGGGCCUUUGCCCCAGAAGAGAUCAUGGCUUACUGGUGACGCUGAAUAGAGGUCAUGAGCACAGUGUGACGAAGAAGCCAGGUGGGAGUCCUUGCUUCGAUGCCCCUCUAUAGGUUUUGUUACCUUUGUUAAGACGUAAAUCAUUCGAUGUGGUGGGACCCGGCAUGACUGUUUUCAGACUGUUCACAGAGCUGUGUAGUUGACACCGCAAUUCAGUUUCAGAACGUUUUCCUUUUAUCAGGCCAGGAGGAAACCCUGCAUUCAUGAAGUCACCCACAGUUCCAUCUACUCCAGCCAACACCAGGAUGCUUCACACCCAUGGACGUGAAGAGCUGCAGUCCUGUCACCCAAGGAACUGAACUGAGUAGCCAAUGGCUCCAUGCCACUGACAAUUUAUGGCGGAGGCAAGGAUUCUACUUGGACAUAGCAGGAGCAAUACUAAGCCAGUGCCACCUCCCAGUGAGGCCUCCCAUGGGCUCAGUCAAAGCACAGUAUCAUGGAGCCAAGUGGAGGACAGGCAGAGUCAGCCUGUCCUGUGAGUCCCAGUGGAUUCCCUGGGUGGCAAAGAACCAGGAACAAUCACCGAGCUUGCCUCUGGGAAAUCUGAACCAAGACAUCCAGGAACCUGGACAUGGAUUGAACUAUCUCUUCAUUGUCAGUUACCACUUGCUAAGCACAUCACCCCCAGAUCUGUGUGAGGGGGUCAGGUGUGCUGGGGUGGAGAAGACAACACAGAGCAGCCUGGGAUGGGAAGUCAGUCUCCUGGUGGUGGGAGUGGUAGAUGCUUGUGGUUGUGCUGUCUCCUUUGAGUAAAAACUCCAGCUGCCAAGUGCUGCCUAGCCUCUGAUAGUUGGCAGAGGCUCCUCCUGGCACCAUGUGGGAUGUGAACUUCCCCC
rnacentral:lncRNA from 1 species